rnacentral:misc_RNA from 1 species
CGCAAGCCCGCGUGAGGGGUAGUAGCGAAAAGCCCGGAUGCUGAGGAACGAAAGCAACGGACUUGUAGCGGAUGACCCGACCCGGA